CGUCGAUCUCGCCGUCAGAGUCCUCGUCGGACCAGUCGGUGAAGGUGUUGCGCCGGCCGUCCAUCUGCUCCAUCUCCUCAUCGAACAUGAAGUCCAGCUCUUCUGGCUCGUCCUGCUCGCCGCCGCCCUCCUGCGAGCACAAGCCAGCCGUGGGUUUGACGUGGUCACCUUGUUGGCGGGAGACGGCGAGGAGCCCAAGUGAGGCAGCAGCGAACGGCUGGCGUCGUCUUUUUCCCUCUGCUGCUGUGAGGAGGGCGCCUGCGUUAGCGCGCGACCACAGUCCGGCGGGAGGAGGAGAUGAGGAUGGUGGUGAGGCGGCGCGACCAAAUGAGCAAAACGACGGGAUGCUGAGCUACGUCAAAACCAACUGAGCCGAUCGACGGCUAGGAACGGAAAGAAUGAUGAUGUCACCUUCUCCGGGCUGACCUUGGGUCUCACCGGCGAGGGUCUGGGCCUCUUCUUGACCUCGAUCCAGGACUCGGAGUCCAGGUCGGGGAGGCUGGCCGAGAGGCCCUUGGGCAUCGUCUUAAGGUUGGAGGGCGUGUCCGAUUCGGCCUUGGGCGGGCGAUGCGCUGGGGUCGAGGCUCUGAGGGACCCUGAAAGACGAUGGCAUCGGUCAUUGAUUCUGCGUUCAUUGGAGGAGACCAUCUCUCGCAUAACAAGUGAGGCGAUGACGAUCAAGCUAAUUCAAAUCUGCAACAAAGUCCGCUCAGGAACGAAUGGAGUCGGGCGGCGGGCAUCCUCACCCGCGGGCUCCUCGCUGGGCUGCCUGGGGAUGAACUCGGGGCAGUUGAUGAGUUGCGCAAAGUCGGUGUGGUUGGGCAUGCUCAGGCCCGGAAGUGGCCACUUCUCGGGCUCCACUUUGCGGCGGAUCUUCAUGUCAAUCACUUCCACUUCCUUGCUGUCCUUCAGAGCCUACCGGGAAACGCCCGUUAAACAGGCGCCAAAGCUUAGCUUGUAAAAAUACAAUUUGCUACUUUUGUUCUUGUGCUGCAAUCAGAGUUGGUUUUAAGUUUUCGUCAGUGAUGUCAGAAGAGACAUGAGAAACUCAUCAGUUCUUCAGCGUGUUUGUGCACCAUUAAAAAAAAAAAAAAAAAAAAAAAAAAA